UACGGGAGGCAGCAGUCGGGAAUAUUGCGCAAUGGAGGAAACUCUGACGCAGUGACGCCGCGUAUAGGAAGAAGGUCUUCGGAUUGUAAACUAUUGUCGUUAGGGAAGAGAAAGGACAGUACCUAAGGAGGAAGCUCCGGCUAACUACGUGCCAGCAGCCGCGGUAAU
rnacentral:rRNA from 1 species